AGAUUAGAAAACAAAACAUUUGACUUUUUCAUUCAGUAGUUGUAACAUGACUUUUGCAUGAGGAGGUCUUUACAAACCUCCUUCUUCAUAAACUCACCAAAGAAACAAGAACAGGUUCUGACAGAAACACUGAAACUCUUUUCUUCAUGUUUGGAACUUUACUUUGAAAAACUGAAAGACAGUAACUUCAAAUGGAAAUGAAACAAACCUGGAGUUUAGUGUUUUUACUUUUCCUACAAGGAGUCUGGAGUCAGAUCAAACUGGAUCAGAGUCCGAAUGUGGUGAAAAGACCUGGAGAAACUGUGAAGAUGUCGUGUGUCAUUUCUGGUUAUAGCAUGACAAGCUACAGCAUCCACUGGAUCAGACAGAAACCAGGCAGAGCUCUGGAGUGGAUCGGAUGGAUGUACACAGGACGCAACUCUCCCACAUAUUCCAGUUCUUUUCAGGAUCGUUUCCUGAUGACUGAAGUUGUGUCCAGCAGCUCUCAGUAUCUGGAGAUCAGCAGCCUGACAGCAGAAGAUUCUGCUGUUUACUUCUGUGCACGAAGAAGCACAGUGACUGAAGACAGUGAAGCAGCUGCACAAAAACCUCCACAAACAUCAGAGUGAUCAGAGAUUCACUUCAGUU